GUCGUACGAGAAAGUCGGCUUCGGCUGAUGAGUAAAGUGGCGCACGGGUGAGUAACGCGUGGAUAAUCUACCCUUUAGUCGGGAAUAACCCACCGAAAGGUGAGCUAAUACCGGAUAAUACUGAGUGAUUACUAUUGUCUAGUCAAAGAAGGCCGCUGCUUGCAAGCUUUCGCUGAAGGAUGAGUCCGCGUACCAUUAGCUAGUUGGUAGGGUAAAGGCCUACCAAGGCAACGAUGGUUAGCUGAUCUGAGAGGAUGAUCAGCCACACUGGAACUGAGACACGGUCCAGACUCCUACGGGAGGCAGCAGUGAGGAAUAUUGCGCAAUGGGGGCAACCCUGACGCAGCAACGCCGCGUGAGUGAGGAAGGUUUUCGGACCGUAAAGCUCUGUCGAGCGGGAAGAAAUGUAUAGUGGCUAAUAUCCAUUAUGCUUGACGGUACCGCUAGAGGAAGCACCGGCUAACUCCGUGCCAGCAGCCGCGGUAAUACGGGGGGUGCAAGCGUUGUUCGGAAUUAUUGGGCGUAAGAGCGUGUAGGCGGUUGGAUAAGUCAAAUGUGAAAGCCCUAGGCUUAACCCUAGAAGUGCAUUUGAAACUGUUCGGCUUAAGUAAGGGAGAGGAAAGUGGAAUUCCUGGUGUAGAGGGGAAAUUCUUAAAUAUCAGGAGGAACCCCGGUGGCAAGGCGACUUUCUGCCC
rnacentral:rRNA from 1 species